AUUGAACGCUGGCGGCAUGCCUUACACAUGCAAGUCGAACGGCAGCACGGGAGCAAUCCUGGUGGCGAGUGGCGAACGGGUGAGUAAUAUAUCGGAACGUGCCCAGUAGUGGGGGAUAGCCCGGCGAAAGCCGGAUUAAUACCGCAUGAGACCUGAGGGUGAAAGCGGGGGAUCGCAAGACCUCGCGCUACUGGAGCGGCCGAUAUCAGAUUAGGUAGUUGGUGAGGUAAAGGCUCACCAAGCCGACGAUCUGUAGCUGGUCUGAGAGGACGACCAGCCACACUGGGACUGAGACACGGCCCAGACUCCUACGGGAGGCAGCAGUGGGGAAUUUUGGACAAUGGGCGAAAGCCUGAUCCAGCAAUGCCGCGUGCAGGAAGAAGGCCUUCGGUUGUAAACUAGACUUUGUUACGGUAACGAAAAGGUUUACGUAUUAAUACUAGG
rnacentral:rRNA from 1 species